UAACACAUGGCAAGUCGAACGGACGUUAGAGGUGCUUUGCACCUCGAAAGUUAGUGGCGGACGGGUGAGUAACGCGUGAGCAACCUGCCUUACAGAGGGGGAUAACGUCUGGAAACGGACGCUAAUACCGCAUGAAAUAUUGAUAUGGCAUCAUGUUAAUAUCAAAGGGAAUAACCGCUGUAAGAUGGGCUCGCGUCUGAUUAGCUAGUUGGUAAGGUAACGGCCUACCAAGGCGACGAUCAGUAGCCGAACUGAGAGGUUGAUCGGCCACAUUGGGACUGAGACACGGCCCAGACUCCUACGGGAGGCAGCAGUGGGGGAUAUUGCACAAUGGGGGGAACCCUGAUGCAGCAACGCCGCGUGAGGGAAGAAGGUUUUCGGAUUGUAAACCUCUGUCUUUUGGUGACGAUAAUGACGGUAGCCAAGGAGGAAGCUCCGGCUAACUACGUGCC
rnacentral:rRNA from 1 species